CCAAUGAACCCCCGGGGUCGAGUUUGCAAAAAUUCCUCUGGGUUUAAACCACUGUGCACCGUAUGUUUUUUGGGAGAGUGGGUAUCCUUCUCCCAGCGUAACAAACCUUUAAUUUGAGCUGAAUUUUUGUAUGAAAGUGA
rnacentral:misc_RNA from 1 species